rfam:Ipomoea nil DNA, scaffold: scaffold2701, cultivar: Tokyo-kokei standard.
GUCGUUGUAGUAUAGUGGUGAGUAUCCCCGCCUGUCACGAGGGAGACUCUGGUUCAAUCCCCAGCAACGGUG